rnacentral:rRNA from 1 species
UUGCUCUUAUGAAGUUAGCGGCGGACGGGUGAGUAACACGUGGGUAACCUGCCCAUAAAACUGGGAUAACUCCGGGAAAGGGGGGCUAAUACCGGAUAACAUUUUGAACCGCAUGGUUCGAAAUUGAAGGGCGGCUUCGGCUGUCACUUAUGGAUGGACCCGCGUCGCAUUAGCUAGUUGGUGAGGUAACGGCUCACCAGGGCAACUAUGCAUACCCGACCUGAGAGGGUGAUCGGCCACAGUGGGACUGACACACGGCCCACACUCCUACGGGAGGCAGCAGUAGGGAAUCUUCCGCAGUGGAAGAAAGUCUGACGGAGCAACCCCGCGUGAGUGAUGAAGGCUUUCGGGUCGUAAAACUCUGUUGUUAGGGAAGAACAAGUGCUAGUUGAAUAAG